ACCCAUUCUACAAUUUUAAACAACCAAAACAAAAAAAAAAAUUAAAACUUGCACUCAAAUUAUUGUUAAAAAGACCCGUAGCUAUCUUACUUUUUCUUUAUCUCUGCAGCCAUUGUCAAGAAAGCCUGUUCCACGUUUACGGAGUCUUUUGCACUGGUCUCGAGGAAAGGGAUCCCGAGCUCAUCUGCAAAUGCCUGCAGGUCGACGAGGGUUAAACGCUUGCAGACUGAUUCAUUUGCAUAUCUGUCGAUUUCACUCAGCCAUUGCUUCACAUUGUUGAAGCUCUCCAUCUCAGUCACAUCAUACACUAUCUGAUACAGAAACUAUAGUAAGCUAUUCGAUACAGAUACUUUUUUUUAGAUAACGAAAUUUAUUCUUUUAUUGAAACAAUUACUCAUAAAUAUUUGAAUAGAUCACCUCCGAGUCCGGAAAGUCGAAUAAUAAACAAAAGUUAAGAGAAACCGAUUAAUGUCAGCUUUUCAGUUUUUUUCAAGGCUUGAUUAAUUGAUAAGUUGAUUUUUAAUAUUUGACAUAAAAAUUCAAUUUUAAAUCACAUGGGAUCUGUCCACGGCUUUCAAUAUGAAAUGUCUUCGACAGAGAAAAUAAAUGCAAUCAAUUAGCGUGUACUUUAUAACACAUCAAGCAUUUACCUAGAAGUCAUAUAACAAAAAUAUAAUAUGUAGUUUUUUCGGUGAUUAGCACAUUGUAUAUGAUGUUUAAAUGUGUUGAUGAAAAUAGAUUCUUUAAAUUUCCUACUAAAUCGGACAACGAAAGACUGUAAUUCAUACAUGAUCAAAUAUAACAAUUUGAGUUAUGAUACUAAGUUAUGAUACAAAUAAUUUUCUAAAUGACCAAAUUCAGUAUUUGCUUGAUAUGAUUACUAAAAAACGAUUGAAAAUAUUACGAAUGUCCUAGUCGGGAAAGUCAUAAAAAAUGUUAACAGAGACCGAUAAAUGUCGGCUUUUCAGUUUUUUAAGGCUUAUUUUAGUGAUGAAUUGCUUUUGAAUUUGGGACAUAAAAUUUCAAUGGUAUAUCACAUGGGUCUUUGGCAGAGAAAAUAAAUGCAAUUUACUAGAGUUCACUUUAUAACAACACAUCAAGCAUCUACCUAGUAAUCAUAUGGAUCAAUGUAGGUAAUGUGGUAUAUAUUCAUGCGAUUAAGUUCUGUAAUAUAUAGAAAUUUUAACCAAAAACAGAUAUGUAGUUUUUCGGUAAUUAUAAAUUAGCACGUUGUAUAUAAUGUCUAAAUGUGUUGAUGCAAAUAAAUUUUCUUUGAACUUUAUACUAAAAUGGACAAAGUAAUACUGUAAUUCUUACAAUUAUUCCAUGAGCUCCUCUGUAGUAACUGCUUGUUAUAGUCCGAAACCGCUCCUGACCAGCAGUAUCCCACUGCAGAAGACAAGUUUUACGUAAAAACUACGAGAUAUAAAAGUACUCAAUCUAAUUCCAUCCAUUCAGACAAAUCUAGCCAUAGUAGUCAAAGGGCGCGCGCCUAGCCGAAGCGAGGCUACACGCCUCGGUUAAACACAAAGUGGCUUUUAGCAACAAUGAAAUCCGCAAAGUCAUUUUUAUC
rnacentral:lncRNA from 1 species